rnacentral:lncRNA from 1 species
UAGAGACGGGGUUCCACCGUGUUAGCCAGGAUGGUCUCGAUUUCCUGACCUCGUCAUCCUCCCGCCUUGGCCUCCCAAAGUGCUGGGAUUACAGGCUUGAGCCACCGCGCCCCGCUCUUUCGUGUUCCAAAGGCUUUUUAAAUAAACUUCCACUCCUGUCCUGGAUUCUGCUUUAUGGCCCUCAGUCGAAUUCUUUCUUCUGAGGAGGCAAGGACUGAAGUUGCUUCUGACCAGUACAGGUACGCCGCAGGAGAAAACGAAUACAGCAGGGAUGACUUCCACCAGCUCCACUUUGCAGCUCUGAGGUGUAUUAAAAAUUUGUUUUUCAGAAACCUAGAGCCCCACCAAAUGAAUCCGCUGGCACGUGGACCUCAGAUGGGGGAAACUGAGGACUGAAUUCUGACCACCCUCCUUUGUUCUAAAUUUCUUCCUGAAGGACCUGGAAGAAGUCAUGCCACGGGCCAGACCUUAACAUUCCUUUCGGCUUACCCCAGGAUUUCAGACAAAGCUUCACUUUCCUAACCAGUCACAAAUCAGAGAAUUUUUGAUUCCACCUAUGACCUGUGAGCUCCUGCUUCAAGAUAUUCCACCUUUUUUAGGCCAAACCAAUGUAUAACCUCCAAGUGUCGAUUUACACUUUCGACUGUAACUUCUGCUUUCCUGAGAUUUACCCCUGCCUUUAAAAACCCUUGCUUGUAAUCCCUCAGGGAGGCCGUGUAUUUAUUAAUCAUGAGCUGCCCAAUUCUCCUUGCUUGGUGCCCUGCAAAUAAACACCCUCUUUUCUCCCACUGCAAAACCUCAGUGUGGAUGUUUGGCUUUACUUCACCCCCAGGAAAGCAGACCCAGGUUUGACUCAGCAACAACAUCUGUUUCUAUUUUUCUCUGUAUAAAUAUUAAAAACCAUAAGUACAUGCUAUCUCCAAUUCCAAUAUAAACCCAUA